rnacentral:rRNA from 1 species
UGAGUACGAGAUGCUAUGGCAUUGAAGCAGUCUAUGUCAUACUUCCAAGAAAAGCUUGCACUGUCAUAAAUAAACAAUGCCUGUACCAUAACCGACACAGGUGGGUAGGUAGAGUAUACUAAGGGGCGCGAGAUAACUCUCUCUAAGGAACUCGGCAAAAUGACUCCGUAACUUCGGGAGAAGGAGUGCCUUAUUCGUAAGGUUGCAAUAACAAGAUCCAAGCAACUGUUUAUCAAAAACACAGGUCUCCGCUAAGUCGCAAGACGAUGUAUGGGGGCUGACGCCUGCCCAGUGCCAGAAGGUUAAAGAAGUCGGUUAGCAUUUGCGAAGCUGGUAACUGAAGCCCUGGUGAACGGCGGCCGUAACAAUAACGGUCCUAAGGUAGCGAAAUUCCUUGUCGGGUAAGUUCCGACCCGCACGAAAGGCGUAAUGAUUUGGAUACUGUCUCGGAGAGGGACUCGGUGAAAUAGACUUGUCUGUGAAGAUGCGGACUACCUGCACCUGGACAGAAAGACCCUAUGAAGCUUUACUGUAACUUGAGAUUGAAAUUGGACUUUAUAUGCGCAGUAUAGGUGGGAGGCUAUGAAAAUCUUUUUGCGGAAAGAUUGGAGCCAUCAGUGAGAUACCACUCUUAUAAUGUUAGAUUUCUAACUUUGUAUCAUUAUCUGGUCAAAGAACAGUCUCAGGCGGGCAGUUUGACUGGGGCGGUCGCCUCCCAAACGGUAACGGAGGCGCACAAAGGUUUCCUCUGAACGGGUAGAAAUCGUAUCUAGAGUGUAAAGGCAUAAGGAAGCUUGACUGUGAGACCUACAAGUCGAGCAGGGACGAAAGUCGGUCUUAGUGAUCUGACGGUGCUGAGUGGAAAGGCCGUCACUCAACGGAUAAAAGUUACUCUAAGGAUAACAGGCUGAUCUCCCCCAAGAGUUCACAUCGACGGGGAGGUUUGGCACCUCGAUGUCGGCUCAUCGCAUCCUGGGGCGGUAGUACGUCCCAAGGGUUGGGCUGUUCGCCCAUGAAAGCGGUACGCGAGCUGGGUUCAGAACGUCGUGAGACAGUUCGGUCCAUAUCCGGUGUAGGCGUUAGAAUAUUGAGAGGAGCCUUCUUUAGUACGAGAGGACCGAGAAGGACAUACCUCUGGUGUACCAGUUAUCGUGCCAACGGUAAACGCUGGGUAGCUAUGUGUGGAGUGGAUAACCGCUGAAAGCAUCUAAGUGGGAAGCCCACCUCAAGAUAAGUAUUCC